GAACAUUAUUAUGAAAUUUUGAGGGAUGAGUUACAGUAAUCGCAUGAAAUUCAAAGGAGGAGAAAGUAGGGUUUGUGUGAGCCAGAUCUGGUAUUUUAGCCAGGACACCAGGGAACCCCCUACUCUUUGCAAAUAGUAUCAUGGGAUCUUUAAUGACCACAGUGAGUCAGGAUCUCAUCCAAAAGAUAGCAUCUCCUACAGCACAGUGUCCCCGUCACUGCACUGGGGCAUUGGGGUUUAUUCGACCAGAGGGAAAGUUGCCCCCUGCUGGCCCACCAGCACCACUUCCAGCAGCAACUCAGUAUUCCCUGGUGGUCUCCCAUCCAAGUACUAACCAAGCCCACACCUGUUUAGCUUCAGCCAGUUGGCAGGAGCAGAGUGCGUGGUGGUAUGGCUGCUGUGGAAAUGAUCAGUAUUCGUUUGAAGUUUAUGUCCUUCCUGCUCAAGCAUUUUUUCCCUCCUCAGCUAUCCCUCUCUGCCCACAUUACCAGUACUAUGUACUCUCUGGAAAAACCUGCCUAAUAGAUCAGCCUUCUCCCUUUGCUUACACCUUCUUUAUUUCCUUCUACCAUAACAGGAAUAGGCAGACCCCUGUUAAGCCCAGCCAUUCGAUGAAUCAUACCCCAAACUUGCUUAACAGUGGUUUCUGUACCUAUAGUGCCACAAAACCUGUGCCAGCUCUCUUUCUUAGCCCCUUUUAUAACCCUCCUAGCCUCUGCUCACAGCCUCUUAUAUCCAAUAUCAUGGCUCUCAACUGGACUCUUUCUAAGCUGCCUAUACGCUGUUACGAGCCUGCACUGCCUCAUAACAAGCCUUCACAGCACUAUUUUCCUCUCUUUCCUGUUCCCCUUGACGUGAAUUGAUUUUUCAGCCGCUCUUUUCACUACAGAACAGAAGGACUUACUCCAUUCUUCUACACUACCCUCACUCAUACCAUCUCCCAAAUCUGCCAAUAGUUGUUCUCUAAAUUUACCCCCGUUCGCUUUUUGAAAGUUAAAUCCUCUCACAGUGCUUUCCUUCUCCACCUGCAAAAUUCUACCAAACCGACUUAAAAUGAGAAAAUGAUCACUCCCCAUGGUGUAACGCUCCAAAAGAUCCCAAUCCCUACACCUAACUAACUCAGCCGAUGCAAAAGUUAAAUCUAUACAUGACAGACUCCCAUUACCAACCUGAAAUCUUGUCGGCCUUCCGUCAUUCAACAUCACAAGCGAGUAUUUAUCCAAAAGAUCUUCUGUUAACACACCAUUCCUAUCUUUAUUUUUGCUGCCCCAUAAAGGACUGUGUGCAUUAAAAUCUCCUGCCCACACCACUGGGGGCUGCACUUGACCCAUUAUUCCAUCUAACUUCUCCAUACUUAACUGGAAACAAGGGUUAUACGGAUUUAUCACUGAGAAUCUUCCUGAUUAACUCCAUACUUCUACCACCACACACUCACGCCCUUCAACAAUAAAAGCCAGGAAUUUAAACCUACUUACCACCACUGACUCCUCUGUUACACAGGUUACCUGAGAGGGGCCCUCCCUCUCCUUCUCACCUCAUCUGCCUCACCCCAUUUUGCAGCCUUUUUAACAGUCUCAGCAUAAGACACCCCUUUAUUUGUCUCCCUAUACUGCUGCACCCUCAUUUCCUGCUUGUGUUGCUCACACUCACGACUUCCAGCAAUAUGCCCUCCACCACAACUACCACACUUAAUCUCCUUUUCCUUACAAUGAAAAAUCUCAUGCUCACCCCCACAUUUACCGCUCCUUCUAGUUCCAUGGCAAGCAGCUGCAAUAUGGCCAUACUUCUGGCACUUAAAACACCUCAAGGGUGGCCUCCUAUGUGGAUGAACUUUAAAGGACAAACAUCCUAGGAACACUCGCUCUGGAAGAGCCUCUUCCUGAAAAGUUAACACUGCAACAAUUGACUCACAUUUAGUUCCAUCACGGAAAACUCUUAUUCAAAAUGCCUCAGCAACCUUCGCACCAUCAAUGCCCCUGACCAGUUCCUCCAUAGAUGGUAAAUGCAAGACCCCAUAGAUCACUCCUUUCAUACCAGCCCUACUCCCUGGGACAAAUCCUUCCACUCGCCUCUUCCCUUUCGCAUCCAGAGAAACAGCUUUGGCCAACUGAGCAGCAGACUUACAGUAAACAAGCAGCUUUCCAUCUGCCAGAAUCCUUGCAUUUACAAUUUCAGCCAGCUCUUCCUUCAAUGCACUCGCGAGCAGACUGCCCUACCUUCAGUUUAAAGAUCACUUUAAACUCUUCUGACUGGCUGCUGUCCAUUCUCGUUAUCUUUACCUGCUCUCCCCCUCCGUCUGACUCCUGAGAUGAAUUACGAGUAGUUUUAGUUUUCCUUUUCCUGUUUUUGCUCUUACUACUUUCCCAACUCCCCCCACCUUCAUCCUCAGAUUGCAUAUUACCAGAAACAGCAGCUCAAUUUCUUUGUUUGAUUGAUUAAGACAAUAUUUAGUCGAAUUCUCGUGUUGUUUGUACGGAUCGUUAGGACUGCCAGGACUCUCUUUAUACAAGUAGCUCCUCCCCUGGCAUGAACCACCAUGCAUUAAAUCAAUUAGCUUAGAACAGCCAAACUACAAUAAAUGAACAAUACAGAAAACAUGAAACCAAUUUCAUAAGUAAUCUAUAACGUAAGAAAAGAGAAUAAAGGCACUUGAAAUGAUCUACACGCAAAUUAUAAAUAAAUACAAAAAUUCCCCCCGUAACCUGAGACUGCAAUGGUAGAUGCCAUCCACCCCCGUCUACAUUAGGUUGGUUUGUUCUGUUGCUCCAUUUGGCAGUGCAUGGAGCUGAGACAUGGAAGUGAGUACGUUUAGCAUGGUUUUAACGGUCAGUGAAAAUAGGGGUGAUGUGUUAUUCAACCAAAACAUUUAAACAGAAACAUUUACACACUAGUCAUUUGGCACAUAAACAGUAAAAAUAACACAUACAAACGCGACAUUACAAACUAGCACCAGCAGACCUUAUCUGGUA